AGUACAUUACCAAAACGCAAAAAUCCCAUUGGUUCCCCCUGUACUCACCUGUGUGCAGAGGGCAGGCAUUAGUGGCACAAACCAGGGUGCAGAACAAGGCCCAGGAGAGACAAUUACUGUGAUGUCCACAAAUCCAAAGCAGAGAAGAGAAGGAGCACACUAUACAAAGACAACAGUGGAGAGUUAAUGGAU